ACACCAUGAUGUGGGCAAUUCUUCAACAACAUUUUAAACCGGUUGAAUGCUUCAUGAAAUAAUUCACCAGAUUGUUAUUGGAAGUUCCUGAUAUCUUUCUAAGCAU
rfam:Helianthus annuus linkage group 4, whole genome shotgun sequence.